rnacentral:rRNA from 1 species
CUCCUUCUGAAAGGAUAGAAGGUAGGCCCUGCCCAAUGCACUAGUAAAUGGCCGCAGUACCUUGACUGUGCAAAGGUAGCAUAAUAAUUUGGCUCUUAAUUGGAGUCUGGAAUGAAUGGGUUGACAGGCUUCCUGCUUUCUUCUUGAAAGCAUUCUUAAUUUUAGUUUCAGGUUAAAACUCCUGAAUGAAAGGGAGGGACGAUAAGACCCUAUAGAUCUGGCUCUUUCUCUCUUUUUAAGAAAAGAGAAAAGAGGUUUUUUGGGAUGAAACGAAAUAGAAGGUGAACAUUCGUUAACCAAAGUCUGAUUAGACAAAGAAAAGAUCCCCCUUGGGGGGGAUAAAAAGGAAAGUUACCUUAGGGAUAACAGCGUAAUAUUUACUGCUAGAACUUAUGGUUGUAAGUGCUUACGACCUCGAUGUUGAAUUAAGUUUACCUUUCUACGAAGAAAGAGAAAAGGUUAGUCUGUUCGACUAAUAAAAACUU